UGGGGAAUUUUGGACAAUGGGCGAAAGCCUGAUCCAGCAAUGCCGCGUGUGUGAAGAAGGCCUUCGGGUUGUAAAGCACUUUUGUCCGGAAAGAAAUCCUUGGCUCUAAUACAGUCGGGGGAUGACGGUACCGGAAGAAUAAGCACCGGCUAACUACGUGCCAGCAGCCGCGGUAAUACGUAGGGUGCAAGCGUUAAUCGGAAUUACUGGGCGUAAAGCGUGCGCAGGCGGUUUGCUAAGACCGAUGUGAAAUCCCCGGGCUCAACCUGGGAACUGCAUUGGUGGCUGGCAGGCUAGAGUAUGGCAGAGGGGGGUAGAAUUCCACGUGUAGCAGUGAAAUGCGUAGAGAUGUGGAGGAAUACCGAUGGCGAAGGCAGCCCCCUGGGCCAAUACUGACGCUCAUGCACGAAAGCGUGGGGAGCAAAACAGGAUUAGAUACCCUGGUAGUCCACGCCCUAAACGAUGUCAACUAGUUGUUGGGGAUUCAUUUCCUUAGUAACGUAGCUAACGCGUGAAGUUGACCGCCUGGGGAGUAACGGUCGCAAAGAUUAAAAACUUAAAUGAAUUGACGGGGUCAUAGCUGUUUCC
rnacentral:rRNA from 1 species